rnacentral:rRNA from 1 species
GUGGGGAAUAUUGCACAAUGGGCGAAAGCCUGAUGCAGCCAUGCCGCGUGUGUGAAGAAGGCCUUCGGGUUGUAAAGCACUUUAGGCGAGGAGGAAAAGCGUACGGUUAAUAACCGUGCGCCGUGACGUUACUCGCAGAAUAAGCACCGGCUAACUCCGUGCCAGCAGCCGCGGUAAUACGGAGGGUGCAAGCGUUAAUCGGAAUUACUGGGCGUAAAGCGCGCGUAGGCGGUUUGAUAAGCGGAGUGUGAAAUCCCCGGGCUUAACCUGGGAACUGCAUUCCGAACUGUCAAGCUAGAGUAUGAGAGAGGGUGGCGGAAUUCCGAGUGUAGCGGUGAAAUGCGUAGAUAUUCGGAGGAACACCAGUGGCGAAGGCGGCCACCUGGAUCAAUACUGACGCUGAGGCGCGAAAGCGUGGGUAGCAAACAGGAUUAGAAACCCCGGUAGUCC